GCGCCUGUAGCUCAGUGGAUAGAGUGACGGCCUCCGGAGCCGUAGGUCGGGCGUUCGAAUCGCCCCAGGCGCG
rnacentral:tRNA from 1 species